AAAAAAAAAAAAAAAUGCCAUAGGUACUUAAUCAGUUUUCAUGUGCCGGGCAGGAAAACAGGCUCAGAGAGGUGAGAUGACUUGCUCAGGACACAUGUAAUUGUUAUGGAAUCCCUUGAUGUGACUCAGUAGUCUAUUUUGCUUGCCCCCUUCUCAAGGCACUGAUUGGAGGGGCCUUAGGGAGGAGGGUAAGCUAGUCAGGGAGGAUCUUGGCCUAAGAAGGAAGGGGAGGGGAUGCCAGUCAACAGCACAAGGAGUGGACAAAGCUGAGAGUGUUGCUAGGAGGGAGUGGUGGUGAUGCCAUAUCUUCAAAAAUCAAGCAAAGAGUGCUGUGGAGGCUCACAGGAAGCUGGGACCUACUGCAGGGGUCUCCAGAGAUGUCCAGUUCCCUUGACCCUUACACUGAGAAACCUGGGUGAUCGCCAGAUGACGACUUGGGGCAGGGACUUUAUUCCUCACCCAAACCUGAGCACCAAGAGCAUUUGAAUCUCAGGUCAAGACAGGAUGCAAACAGUUAAUUCCAAAGGGGGAAAAAAAAUCUUUUGACAAAGAAUUACAAAGAGUAACCCAGAAAGUUUUCCUAAGAGGCAAUUCAGAGGAGUCUGAGUCUCAGCUAGCUUAUGGGACUGAAACAGGAACAGAACAUUCAUGGAAAAAAUCACAAUAAAGGGCAGGAGGAAGUUCUUUUUCCAAAAGAGAGGUUUGGGCAAAUGACUUGCUCUCUCCUCAAAGCCAGUGUAGAAAGACCAGGAAUGCCACAAAUUAGAGGAAAAAAAAUGUCUCUUUGUACAAAGUUUAUUACUUGUCAGAGGGAUAGGCCAGCAUAAAGAGCCACUAGAUGAAGGACACAUGGCCAAGGCUUUCUAUGGAAGCCAGGCCUGAGUGGAUAGGAGACAGGUCCUGGUGGAUCAAAGCUCCUUAGAUAUCAUGUGUGUGGAAAAUCUUUCAGCAAAAAUUCACACCUUGCUCAAUAUCAGAAAACUCACCCUCAAGAGAAGAUCUGUGAUAUAUCCAAUGUGGAUGAAUAUCACAACUCAAUCCAGUGGAGAGAAAUCCUAUAUGUGUAAUGAAUGUGCCAUUUGUGAUUUCAAGAGGCAUCAAAGUUUGUGAAACAUCAGAGAAUUCACACUGGAGAAAAACCCUGCAGCUGUACUACAUAUGGAAAAGCCUUUAAUGGGAAUUCAACCCUUAUUAAACAUUAGUUGAUACACACUGAAGAGAAGCCCUACAAAUGUAAUGAGUGCAUGAAAGCAUUUAAUCAGAAAGCAAAUCUCAUCAAGCAUCAGAGAAUUCAUACAGGAGAAAAGCCCUUUGCAUGCCGAGAAUGUGGGAAAAGCUUCAGUCAGCCAUCACACCUAUCUCAAUCUCAAAGAAUGGAUCCUGGGAGAAGCCGCACAACGGUGAGGAGUAUCGUAAAGGCUUUCGUCAAACAGCACACCUGGUUGAUCAUCAAAGAAUACACACAAGAGAAGCCCUCUGUUUGCAUCAUGUGUGGGAGGGGCUCUGUUUAGAUGUCACACUUGAUUCACCACCACAGAACACAUUUAGGAGAAAAGACCCAUGAGUGUCAUCCAUGUGAGAAGCACUGAAGCCAGUGUUCACCCCUUAUUAGACGUUAGUUACCCACACAAUGGAGAGUGCAUACCACUCUGAAUGUGCCAGGCUUUCAGCGUGAGCUGGUCUCCCUGGCGUUGUCUCACACAUCCCUUGUAGAGGAAACUUUUCAUUUGUGUAAGAGAAAGCACCUAAAAAUUCAAAGAAGGCAGAAUGACUUUUUUGCUCUAGCUCACUAUGCAAUAUCAGAGAUCUUGAAAGAGAGGACCUAGUGGGUGUGGUGAGUGUGAAGGAAACAUUUUGUUGAAGCUCACACCUUUCUCAGAGUGAGAUCAUUCACAUGAGUGUAACAGAUACAAGAAAAGCUUUGGUGUGUUGUGGACAGAAGGCAGAACUCUGGGGACUACCAAUGUUAGCUGCUUCUUUGAACAAACUGUCCCAGUAAGUUCUUGGCCAUGGAUGGCUGUGCUCUGUGGCUAUAUGUUGUGGACUUGGAACAAAGACAGUCUUGGGGGAAGCCAGUGAUCUAGGAUGUAGCCUAAUACCAAAAUAUAGUCUCAGCAAGAAGCAGAUAGGGAAAUGAGGUGAUGCACAUAAAAAGCAAGGCUGCCACUUAGUGUCUGUCCCUAGGGUGGCUGCUUUAUCUUGGGCAAAAAGUUGGGGGGAUGGAAGCUCACAGUGAUGCCAGACUAUUCAGUCACACAUUUACAGACAGCCUCUUACUCUGUCUCCACAGGUGAUCAACCUCAUCUGUGGUUUAUCCCCCCAAAACACACUGGAGUUUAAUCCCCAUUGUGAGGUAUAAAGGUGGUGGAAAUCUAAUCUGAACAUGUUUAGAGGUGGGGCUUUUGGGGGUUAUUAGGGUCAUCAGGGUGGAGUUCUAUGAUUGAACUCUGGUGGCUUCAUAAGAAGAGGGAUGGAGACCAAAAGACACACACACACACACACUCCGCUAUCUGUGGCCUGUGAUACCCUGUGCUCCCUCUGGACUCUGCCAACAAAAAAGGUCAUCACUGAAUGUAGCUCCUUGACCUUGUAUCUUUGGAAUAUGAACCAAACAAACCUCUUUGUUCCAUAAAAACCACUCAGUUUGUGGUAUUGUUAACAACAGAAAAUGGACUAGGACACCAUCCAUUGUGAGAAUAGGUAUUGGGGUGGACAGGCAUUUAUCAUGUGUCACAGGC